UUGGAGGGCAAGUCUGGUGCCAGCAGCCGCGGUAAUUCCAGCUCCAAUAGCGUAUAUUAAAGUUGUUGCAGUUAAAAAGCUCGUAGUUGAAUUUCGGGAUUAGUGCGCCGGUUGUGCCUUCGGUAUGUACUGGUGUUACUGGUUCCUACCUUCUGACGAACCGUCAUGUCAUUAAUUUGGUGUGGCGGGGAAUCAGGACUGUUACU
rnacentral:rRNA from 1 species